GUUCUGCUGUUUCUGUAGGAAAUACACAGAGUUCUUCACAGAGGUCGGUGUGGUGGGUGGAGUCACUCUGUGUUCAGGCUGGAUAUGCUCUGAAAGAGUGCGCAUCAGCAGAUCACUCUUCCUCCACCCUUGAUAUCACCUGUUCAGACUCUGUCAGGCUGCUGAAUGGUUCCAGUCUGUGUUCAGGCAGACUGCAGGUGAAGUCUAACCAGAGAUGGUCCUCAGUGUGUGAAGAUGACUUUGACCUGCAGGAUGCAGAGGUGGUCUGCAGGGAGCUUGGCUGUGGGCCUCCUUCGCUCCUCCAGGGGGCACUCUAUGGAGAAGUGGAGGCUCCAGUGUGGAGCAGAGAGUUCCAGUGUGGAGGCCAUGAGUCUGCUCUCCUGGACUGUAGAAGCUCAGGCUCAGUGAGAAGCAGCUGCUCACCUGGCAAAGCUGCUGGACUCACCUGCUCAGAGCCUGUCAGGUUGGUGGGAGGAGCCAGUCGCUGUGCAGGUACACUGGAGGUGAAACAGGGACUGUGGAGAUCUGUGGAGGCCUCAGGCUGGACCCUGAUGGAUGCAGCUGUAGCCUGCAGAGAGCUGGACUGUGGCUCUGCUGUUUUAACAGGAAGCAGAAAUGCAUCCUGGGAUGGACCAACGUGGAAGAUCAAACCUGCCUGUGUUAAAUCUGGAUCUACACUGAGGGAGUGUGCCACAUCAUCCCAGUCACCCACCGUCCUGGAGCUCAUCUGCUCAGACCUGCUGGUUCAGCCAAUCAUCUCAGCGUCCUUCUCGUCCAAUGACGGGGACUCCCAGGUCCAGCAGCAGGAGUCUUCUUGGGUGUUAAAAGGCUCCAGCUUCACCAUCAGCUGCUCCAUCCAGCCUCAGUACCCAGGAGGCUCUUUCCAGCUCACCUUCACCUCCUCCAGCACCACCAACAACUACACCCAGCCAGCUGUCAAUCACUCUGCCCACUUCCUGUUCCCUGCUGCAGAGCCCGCCCACCAAGGAACCUACAGCUGUGUUUAUCGCGUCUUCGUGUUUUCUCGUAACUUCUCCUCUGAGAGCCGUCAGCUGUCUCUCACUGUCUCAGAUCCAACAGUGUUUGUCAUCAGACUGCUGCUCCUGCUGCUGAGCCUGCUGCUCUUCAUCUCUGCCGUCUGUUUCAGCCAUAAGGUCACCGGGAGGCAGAAGCCCCGCCCACCAGAGGACCAGGAGCUGGAUGGUUAAAGCUGGCAGUGUCCAGAAAGGCAGGCAGCUCAGCAGCGCCUCCACAUGGUGGAGGAAGUGUUUGCAUCCUUCACCACAGUGUGAACAUGAUGUAGAACCACAGUAUUCUGUAUAUUACAUCAUCAGGUCAUGUGUUACUCCUGUAUUAAAGUGUGAGCAUUAAUACUUGUUUAUAUUUACUGCUUCCAGCUUCUUCCAGUCCUGUUUGUA
ensembl:lncRNA